rnacentral:rRNA from 1 species
AUGAACGCUAGCGGGAGGCUUAACACAUGCAAGUCGAGGGGUAUUUGUAGCAAUACAGAGAGACCGGCGCACGGGUGAGUAACGCGUAUGCAACCUGCCCUUUACUGGAGGAUAGCCCGUAGAAAUGCGGAUUAAUACCCCAUAGUAAUAUCGGAUCGCAUGAUUUGAUAUUUAAAGUUUCGGCGGUAAAGGAUGGGCAUGCGUGACAUUAGCUAGUUGGUAAGGUAACGGCUUACCAAGGCUUCGAUGUCUAGGGGUUCUGAGAGGAAGAUCCCCCACACUGGUACUGAGACACGGACCAGACUCCUACGGGAGGCAGCAGUGAGGAAUAUUGGUCAAUGGGCGAGAGCCUGAACCAGCCAUCCCGCGUGCAGGAAGAAUGCCCUAUGGGU